rfam:Metarhizium anisopliae BRIP 53293 unplaced genomic scaffold Scaffold_32, whole genome shotgun sequence.
GACACUUUGGCCGAGUGGUUAAGGCGAUGCCCUGCUACGGCCUGAGAACAGGCGUGUUGCACAAGGCAUUACAUUCGUGUGCGCAGGUUCGAAUCCUGCAGGUGUCG